rnacentral:lncRNA from 1 species
GAAAGGCUCCCUGUGGUGCUUGACGCUUACACGCAGCAGUUCAAGAAAGCUUUUAGACUUUUCCUGGAGCUGAGAGCCAAAGAAUUAGUGCCAGGAGGCCCGAUGGUUGUUUCCCUUGGAGGCAGGCGUUCCAAUGAUAUUGCCUCAAAGCACAUUCGCCCGUGUGAAUCUCUGCCGCGCCAUUACUUACCACGAAGGCCCGAACAGUGGCCGCAGGCGCUUCUUCUGCCCCGCCGCGUGCGCGUCCCCCACGCAUCGCCGGCGCGCAAAAGGACGCCAACAUCGCCGCCAAUCCGCACCUACCUCCUCUCUGGCCGCCGGCGAUGCUCAGCGGCCGUGAAUCUCUGCCGCGCCAUGACUUGGCCGACCUCGAUCCACCCGGCGGUAUCUCGAUUGAGGAUGUAUAUUAUAAAAAAUCUCGAUUGAGGAGGAUUCGCUUGGAGGUGGAGAAUGAAGAGAGGCGGAGGAGGAGGUCUCCGGCCGGCCUUCUUGGAUUGGGAUUUG